rnacentral:lncRNA from 1 species
ACUCCGAGGCCGGCAGGCUGGCAGGCUGGCUGGCUGGCUGGCUGGCCGGCCGGCGGGCGGGGGUGGGGCGUCCUGGAGGACUUAACUCCGGAGCGAGGCUCGUGUGAGCCCAGGCGGGUGCCAGUGUGCUUGGAGGCCCCUGCCCGCCCGGCAGCCUCCACCUGCCCAGUGACCAUGAUAGGGAAUAUCGUUUACUUUCCCUAGUCAGCGUGAAGAUGAGGGAAAUGAGAGGAUUUGUGAAACGCACCUCAGAGCUGUUUACCAAAUGCCAAUUUAAAAAGUGUUUGUCAGGUUCAACUCCAGCCAUGGUUUCCCAGUGGAGGUCGAUUCUGACACCAGCAUCUUCCAGCUCAAGGAGGUGGUUGCUAAGCGACAGGGGGUUCCAGCUGACCAGUUGCGUGUGAUUUUCGCAGGGAAGGAGCUUAGGAAUGACUUGACAGUGCAGGUGAGUCUCCCUGGGUGGAUGGUUCCUGGGUUGCAUCCAGCUCCAUUGCUUAUGCUGCUUCUGCUGCCAAGCUGACAUUCAUGCCCGAGAUGUAAUAGAAUAAAUAGUGCCUGGGGAUUCCUUGAACUUUACUCCACACCGCUUCAUUAAUUCUGACCUUCUUAAUUAUGCAUUAAAACAGCAAGCAGGAAGGGUUGGAAGAACACCUCUGAGUGUGAGAGAGAGAGAGAGAGAGAAAGCGAGCACACAAACUGGGCUCAGUGCAUAAAUGUUUACUGACUGCAGGAGCAGCAAGGCACAAUUUCUGUGUCUGUUCAAUUUCUACCUUACUUAUUCCAUUUGAAUCUUAAUGAAGAAAGAUGCAAAUAAAUUGUUCCAAAUCAGGCUGCUCGGCCACUGUGCUGUGAGGAAUCCGUAACCCAAGUGUGACCCCUGGAGGAUGGUCCUAGGUCUGCUGCUGUGGCUCACGAGGGGAGGGAAGGGCUCGGCUCAGGGCCGAUCACAAGCCUCGAGCACCCCUGCCCCAUCAGAAUCCCAGUGCCGGAGGAGACCGAUGCGCCGCAGAAGUCCACUUCCGUGUUUAAUUUCUCCAAGCUUCAAUAACAUUUUCCCUACACUGGGCCGCUGAAUCAUUACAGAGGGAGCGGUGUGUGUUUUCUCUCCUGGCUCUGCCGCUUUCAGGGCACCCCACCAUUCUGUUAAAGGCUCGGUUAUAUCCUUUUCAUCUGAGUGUUUCAUUCACAGCAGUGAUGUCUGUAGGAAAAGGGGAGAGCUGGGUAGGGGGUGGGGGAGCCAGGCCAUCACCUCCUCACCUGGAGUCCUGUCACUUGUUAUUGAAGCCAGCAAAGAGAAUUCAGUAUGGACCGAAGUCAUUCUCUGACAAGGCGUGAAAGACCAGUUGCUUUCUGUGGGCGGUUUGGGUGAUGCUGGAGAACCUGCUGAGGCAUUUCCCCCCUUUCUUAACCAGCAGAGAUUAAUUGCACUUCUGUUUGCAGCUGUGUGGGGGCCGCGGCUGUGUCUCUAGGCACAGUCCCCACUUUCUUGACGUCCUAUCACUGUCUCUUCUUGGUGCUGAUGUUUACUGCUUUGCGAAAUGCUUUGGAAUUGGCCUGUACAAAAGAAGCUAUAGAAAUGCAAAUCGCUCCCUCCUCCUGCCUCUCCAGUGAAGGCAGGAGGCACGUGCUCUCUUGCACAAACUGCUGUGCUUUGCUUUUAGGCAAUUUGUUUUUAUAAGGGAAGUGCCUAUGCUAAAAAGUGUUUUGAUUUUUUUUUUAUUUCAGUCAACUAAAAAGCUUUUUACUGUACCUGCCAACCUCUAAAUCCAAGAAUGUUUCCUUCAUAAAUUAUUUUGAAACAUCUCCUUGAACCAAAACAUUUUAUGUUACCAGAAGUUUUGAAGUUUUAGGUUCUAAAGUGUCUUACGUCUACCAUUUUUGCUGAUAGAUUAGACUAAUUGCUAUAGACAAUAAGCUUUUUUUACAGAGAUAGAUAGAUAGGUAGAUACAGAAAUAUAUAGAGAGAUAAAGAUUCUUUAUUUUGACUAACACUUCCAGUGCUCUGUGCUUCUCAGGGAAUCCCAAAGAAAGGCAAGAUGGAGAGAGAGCUGUUUCCUUAAGGCCUCUAAAAUCAGAAAUACAUGUUAGGUUAAGCCGUACACUAUAGGUUAAAACUAUCAGCAAUUUCAUGUGGCUCAACCUAAUAGCUAUAACGUGAGGAUGUCAAAAAUGUUGACUGCCAUAUGGAAACUGAAAUACAAGCAUUACAAAGUUUGAAAGGUGGAGAAAGUCACCAAGAAAGACUUCAUGGAUGAAUUGAAACUCGAGUAGGAUUCUGGACAUGGAGAACGAGCUUGGAGUGUGCUUGGGAACAAGCAUAGUUUCCUAUUCUUGCAGAACCCAGAGGAGAUGCUGUAGAUGGGGUGAGAAGGGGGCUGGGAGCUCUAUUUUAUAGUGCUUUGAUUGGUGUGGCAUUGAGGUUUCAUGCAUGGGAAGCCAGAGUAAAACUGGGUUCCCUGGAGAGAAAUGGGAACCUGGAGAGCCCUGUGAUUGUGGGCAGGAUGAGUUUUAUACGUGACAAGAGUUAACACCAGUGGGAGAUGCUGGCAGGCAGUUGAACAUAGGUGUGGCGCUCAGAGCUGGCUGAGAUAAGUAUUGUAGUUACUGAAACAGAUUUAGUUGCCCGGGGCAGAGGAGAGGCACAGCAGUUCCUUAUCUAGUAGGGCAGGAGCCGGUAAAGGGGGCGUCAUUCAUCCACAUGACAUUUCUUAAGAUAGUUUGGAAAAGGAAAGUACUGGUAAAGAGCAGUGUGUGCUGUGAAAAGAUGGAGGGGGAUGAGGAAGAAAAGAGCCUUUGCUCUUGGUGACAGUGCUGAUGACUCAGGGACCUUCAGGACACCAGGUCAAGGCUGUGGUUGGAGGAAGCCAGAGUGCAGGCAUUCAGCCUGAGUCCUGGGACUGUGUAAUGGGCAGGGCUCGGCCGGUUAGCAAGGGAUGGAGAGACAGAAGGGAGUUCUUGGAGGAACAGCAGGUCCUACGCCACGUUGUACUCUUCCUAGCCUUUGACUGUGUGCAUGGCAGACUUUGAUAUAGUUCUGAUCAGUUCUAUAGUUCUAAUCUGAAUUUCCUUUGCUUCACAUUAUAUCCCGGGCAUUUUCCGUGUUGCUGUAUAAUCUUCAUUUCUAGAUGUCUGGAUAUUACUGUCUAAUAAGAGUGUUUAUUUGUAAGCAUUUCAGGAGUAUCUGGUUUUUAGUAUUACAAAUUAAGGCGAAACAAUUUCUCUAAAUGUGUCUUCUAAACUUAGAGGAUACAGCCUCUCUGUUUCAGUUUGCUUAUUUGUAAAAUGGGAAUAAAAAUAAUACCUACCUCACUGGGGUUUGUGAGGACUGCGGUAAUUUAUGCAAAACCCUCCAAACGGAGAGUGGCAUGGAGCUAACUCUACAGAAAUGUGAGUGUUGAUCAGCACCUCACCAGCACGACUGUCUUCAUUCUUGUUAGGCGGUUACUUCAGGGCCUAAGCGAUCACCUUAGAUGGCACAGGACAACUUUCCGUCGUGAAUCAGGAUGAGUAUAUCUGCGAUAAUUUAAACAGUUAAGGCGAUGCUAGUAGGAUGCAUAUUUUAUUGGGACAGUACAAUGUAUGCGUAGGUAAUAUUUACAUAGUUAAACUAAAAAGCUCUGUGGAGUUUAUAAAUACAUUUUUGACCUUUAGACAUACAGCUUUUACUUAACCAUAGUAGAAUUUGAAUUUAGCAAGCUUAAAAAGACUUAAAAUUCCUCUAAUAUUAAGAAAAAAUAGACACCUAUGGCUGUACCAUUCAGCAAACACUCGUCAUGAUAUAAUUGCUUUUAAAAUAUAUGUUUAUAAAGUGGAUAUCUGCCACACACUGUAUUUGAAGCAAAUUGGAAAGAGUUCUUUCCUCCUACUUCAUACGCAGUGUUUCCGUGCUUAUUUUUGUUUUCCCUGCACCUAGAAGUCUUCGGCAUAUCCUUCACGGUGAAUUGAUUAUUUUUCUUUGUAAAGACUCUUGUCAACUCUUGCAAUAGAAUAUUCGAGCCCAUUCAAGUCAUGAGUCAUUCUUGCUCCUACCCUCCAGUUCUAACACACUGCGUAUCAAGAAUCCCUACCUAAUUUUUAAUUUAUUAUUCAGAUUUAUACAAGGAAAAUAAAGGUGUAAUGUAGCUGUAUAUAUCAAAAUUGUUGACUUUUUAAUUAGAAUAACUUCAAAUUACAGGGACUUGAGAAUCACAUAAGAUUUUGUUGGAGCAGAAUUCACUGUAUUCACCUGGCCUGUAUUAUUAUUAAUGUUAAUAUCCGUAUAGGUUUAUUAGUCAGUGUAUUAGGGUCUGCCAAAGAAACAGAACCAGUAUUAUUUAUAUGUAAUGAAUAGAUGGGUAGGUAGGCAGGUAGGUAGAUAGGUAGGUAGUGAUGAGAUUAGGCCCCCCAGUGAUGGAGGCUGCAGUCAUCAGGUUUAGUGUUGGUCUCAGUCUGAAGACCUGAAAACCAGAGAGGCGAUGGUAUAGUUCCAAUCUGAACGCUGGUUGGCUCAAGACCCAGAAAGAGCUGAUGUUUCCAAAGGCUACAGAAAUAAAUAGAUAAAUAAAUUAAAGUCUCGAAAAGUAAACAAAACAAAAACAAACAAAAAUCAGUGUUCCAGCCAGAUAGAUGGCUGUUGCGCAGGAGGAAUUCCCUUUGACUUGUAGGAAGAUCAGCCUUUUGGUUCAGGUCUUAAACUGACUGGUUGGGACCCACCCAUGCUGGGGAUAGCCAUGGAUUCACUCAGUCAGGAUUCCAGUGUUAAUCUCAUCUGAACAAACUGCUCACAGACACACCCAGACUAAUAUUUGGCCAAAGGUCUAGGCGGUCCAUGGCCCAGUCAAGUCGACACAUAAAAUUAACUACUGCAGCCAGGAUUUGAGAAACCUCAUUAUAUUUUAUUAAUAUUAGAGGGAAGCCUAUUCUAUUUUAUUCUCUUUGUAAUAAUGUAUUAUAUACUUAAAGGAGAAAAUAAAAUAUGACUGUUUUACAUAGCAAUUUUCUUUAUAAAAGAAUUCACCCAGAUGGAUGGUCAAAAAUUCCUUUUAAAAUAUUCAACUUUCAAAGUUCCUGUUGUGCUCAGCAGAAAUGAAUCUGAGUAGCAUCCCUGAGGAUGCAGGUUCGAUCCCUGGCCUUGCUCGGUGGGUUAAGGAUCUGGCAUUGCCGUGAGCUGUGGUGUAGGUCCCCGAUGCGGCUCAGAUCUGGCAUUUCUGUGGCUGUGGCGUAGGCUGGCAGCUACAGCUCCAAUUCAUCUCCUAGCCUGGGGACCUCUAUAUGCCGUGGGUGUGGCCCUAAAAAGACAACAUAAUAAUAAUAAUAAUAAUAAAGUAUUCAAUUUUAUGAUGUUUAAAAUGUGUAUACACAUUUCAUGAAAUAGGUCUUUUUUGCAAUAAAUAUUAAAGGAUAUCCAUUUAUUACACUUAUUUUUCUAAGCUUUAUUACAUGACAAGAUCUGAGUUUGGAGGACCAGAGACAUUAGGACUUUAAUAGCCUAGGUUGUAAAUAUUAAAGAAAAAUAAAUGACCCUAAAAAGCCAGAUUAUUUAAUUGGUUAUGUAUUUAGUGAUAUACACUAAAUAUAUUUCAAAAUUUGUGAAUAGUGAAAACCAGCUUUCAUUGACAAAGUAAACUGUGUAUAGUGACUAACAAAUUCAAGUUUUGGAAAUUCUGUAAGAAUAUUUACCUGUUGGAGUUCCCAUCAUGGCUCAGGAAAAACAAAUCUGACUAGUAUCCAUAAGAAGCUGGUAAACUGUUUUCAUUUAAGAGUUCUAUAGGAGUUCCCGUCGUGGCGCAGUGGUUAACAAAUCCGACUAGGAACCAUGAGGUUGCGGGUUCGGUCCCUGCCCUUGCUCAGUGGGUUAAUGAUCCGGCGUUGCUGUGAGCUGUGGUGUAGGUUGCAGACGCGGCUCGGAUCCCGCAUUGCUGUGGCUCUGGCGUAGGCUGGUGGCUACAGCUCCGAUUGGACCCCUAGCCUGGGAACCUCCAUAUGCCGCGGGAGCGGCCCAAGAAAUAGCAACAACAACAACAACAACAACAACAAAAAAGACAAAAGACAAAAAAAAAAAAAAAAAAAAAGAGUUCUAUAGAAAAGACUAGGCAGUUACACAUUCAACUGCAAAUUUGCUGGUUGUUUUAUUAUGUUGUGAAAUUGACAGAAUAUUAGAAUUCUUUGAUAUUCCUAUACAAUCUUAGAAUACAUGUUUACCACCAUUUAGGACCAUUAUUUAGUUACUCUUUAUAGAUGCUAUACUUUACAGUAUAAGCACUAAACAUGUAAGAGAAGUUGCUGCUGAGAAAAAGAAAAUGAACAUGAACUACUUAAUGUUUCCACUAGCAAAUGCUAAAUAAAAUCCUUGGUGUGCUGAAGAGAAGGUGGAAUGACAAUGGUGGUGUAUACACUUGUUGGAAUUUUCCCACCUGUUUUCAUUAUCUUUAUUUGUUUUUCAUAGUGGUCAUAGAUAAUGUGACCAUUAUAACUUGCCAUACAAAUUGGGAAAGAGAGAGAGAGGGAGAAAGAAAGAAAAAGAAAAGAAAAGAAAAAAA